rnacentral:rRNA from 1 species
UACGUAGGUGGCGAGCGUUGUCCGGAUUUACUGGGCGUAAAGAGCGCGCAGGCGGUCGUACAAGUCGCGUGUGAAAGCCCCUGGCUCAACUGGGGACGGGUCACGCGAUACUGUUCGACUCGAAGGCAGGAAAGGGAAGUGGAAUUCCCGGUGGUAGCGGUGAAAUGCGCAGAUAAUCGGGAGGAACACCGGUGGCGAAGGCG